rnacentral:rRNA from 1 species
UACAGAGGUCUCAAGCGUUGUUCGGAUUCAUUGGGCGUAAAGGGUGCGUAGGCGGCGCGGUAAGUCGGGUGUGAAAUCUCGGAGCUUAACUCCGAAACUGCAUUCGAUACUGCCGUGCUUGAGGACUGGAGAGGAGACUGGAAUUGGUAGUGUAGCAGUGAAAUGCGUAGAUAUUACCAGGAACACCAAUGGCGAAGGCAGCUUGCUGGGCUACUCCUGACACUGAGGUACGAAAGCGUGGGGAGCGAACAGG